AGCAAUUUGGAGCAGUCUGGCAGCUCGUCGGGCUCAUAACCCGAAGGUCGCAUGAUCGAAACAUGCAAUUGCUA
rnacentral:tRNA from 1 species